UACGGGGGAGCAAGCGUUGUUCGGAUUUACUGGGCGUAAAGGGCGCGUAGGCGGCCAGCACAAGUCAGUUGUGAAAUCUCCGAGCUUAACUCGGAACGGUCAACUGAUACUGUGCGGCUAGAGUGCGGAAGGGGCAACUGGAAUUCUUGGUGUAGCGGUGAAAUGCGUAGAUAUCAAGAGGAACACCUGCGGCGAAGGCGGGUUGCUGGGCCGACACUGACGCU
rnacentral:rRNA from 1 species